rnacentral:rRNA from 1 species
CCCUUAGAUGUUCUGGGCUGCACGCGCGCUACACUGAUACUUUCAGCGAGUCCACCACCUUGCCUGGGAGGGUGGGGUAACCUCUGGAAAGUGCAUCGUGAUGGGGAUCGAUUAUUGUAAUUAUUAAUCUUCAACGAGGAAUUCCUAGUAAGCAUGUGUCAUCAGCCCGUGCUGAUUACGUCCCUGCCCUUUGUACACACCGCCCGUCGCUCCUACCGAUUGAGUGAGCCGAUGAAACUGCCGGAUGUGGACUAUUCAUAGUCUGCAGAAGAUAUUUGAAUCGUAGCGCUUAGAGGAAGGAGAAGUCGUAACA